rnacentral:rRNA from 1 species
CCUACGGGUGGCUGCAGUGGGGAAUAUUGCACAAUGGGGGAAACCCUGAUCCAGCGACGCCGCGUGAAGGAAGAAGUAUUUCGGUAUGUAAACUUCUAUCAGCCGGGAAGAAAAUGACGGUACCUGACUAAGAAGCCCCGGCUAACUACGUGCCAGCAGCCGCGGUAAUACGUAGGGGGCAAGCGUUAUCCGGAUUUACUGGGUGUAAAGGGAGCGUAGGCGGUUUAGUAAGGCAGAAGGGAAAGGCCCGCGCUCAACGUGGGAACUGCCUUUGAAACUGGCAAACUGGAGUGUGUGAGAGGAUAGUGGAAUGCCAGGUGUAGGAGUGAAAUCCGUAGAUAUCUGGAGGAACACCAGUGGCGAAGGCGACUAUCUGGCACAUAACUGACGCUGAGGAGCGAAAGCGUGGGUAGCAAACAGGAUUAGAUACCCUUGUAGUC